AUAAGCAACUCCGUCGUCUCUAAAACUUUGCUCUUACUCAGGCAAUUAUUACAAGACAUACAUAUAUAUAAUCAAGGAGUUUCUCAUUCACUCUCCCUCAAGGGCUUCCCCAACAUGCCAUGCAUGUGGGCUUGAUGCUUCAGAUGGAAAUGCUUGGUGAAGUCCUUAGGGGGAGUGGAUGAGACAUUGUCUUUCAUGCUCUCGCUCACAUCAGAUCACAUCAGUAACGAUGACUGAACAUAAGCUUUUCCACCACAGAUGGUUCUCAAAUCUCAGUUCAUAGAACGAAUUCAAGAAUAAUCUAUCUUCUGAAUGUUAAAUUUCAUUCUCACCUGAAAGAAGAUCAAAAUAAAAGAGAGAAAGAAUGGUGUCAAAUGGAUGUUUCCUAGGCAUGAUCAAUCGCAGCUUCACUUUGAAAAAUGACACUUAUCCAGUAGUCAUGCAUAGGUGAGAAUUUGAGCUAACAAAAUGUAUAAUUUUGUCGCCAACCCUGGCAACUUGACCUAGAAAAUCCUCCCAUGUUCUCCAUUUCGAUAUCCCAUGCCUGUAAAAGGCUGAUUGGGAGGUACAAUUUGCAUAAACAUGCACACAUUUGUAACUUAUUUUUAAGCAUGUUUGUUGUCAUAUAUGUUUUCAAACCACGGCUUGCCACUAAUUUUUCCUUUCUUUGUACAAUCAUUUUUGUUAAUCACUUUGUGUGUGAAGAGCAGCAGCACAAUCUUGAUUGGUGCUUGACGUUUUUUAGAGUAUCUCCGCACGUACCUUCCAAAUUCUAUCCCAAAGGAUGAAUGCUGUAAUAUCAAUUCAAUACCGGAAUACCAAUAUUUAUCACUGCCGAAACUGCGGAUGAGUUACGAAGAAGCUGCGGAAGCAUGACAUUUAGGUAAGAGCUUAGGCCUUAAAUCUAGCUGCUCUGAUGAUGUAAUAAGUUCUGAGUUGAUGAUGCUUGAGCAAGAGAGAGGGUUGUAGGUGGUUAUUAUGGGUUUUAUUGAUUUAAUUGAUUUUUGAUGUUCUGGCGAAGUUGAUUUUAAAAGAUGGUAUGCUGAAGGGUUGGGGUUGGAGGCAGUUCUAUUUAUUUUAAGAAUCUGGAGAUGUUUAAAGGAGUUGAUAUGUUGUUGUUGCAUGGAUCAAAAUCCCAGAAUGUCGAUAGCCAUAUGGUCUGAAUUUUUUGGGUCCAUGCUGAUUCUUUUCCUUUGUUUUUGCUGCACUGAAUGUCUGAUUGGGUGGUUUUUGUGUGCUUGAAUAUGAAGUUUUGUUUUGGA